CCGUCUUCUUGUGUCACAAACAACCCCAAAGCUGAGAUAGACUAAUAAUAAAGAGACAUUUAAACUGAGGAGACAUGCUGUGACUUAUAAUCUCUGGGCUGCGCAGCGCAGUGAACUGGAUGGUUUCUUGCUGUGGCACCUCUGAGAAGGACAGGAUGUCUUCAGGAAACCAAUGACAGAGAGUUUGGACGGUGUCCAGUGAUGGAAAACCAUGCAGUCAGAGCCGUGCAUAAUGGUUCCUGCAAGUUAACACCUUCUUUACCUAAACUCUGCUGCACUUGUUACAAUGACGACCUGUCUGAAAGCUUCUUCUUGGGAAGAUGGACAGAGUCUGACAGCUGACAAGUGCCUCACCAGCUCUACUGUAAGCACCAUUCACUUAUAUGCUAACAAUAAAUUCAACAUUUAAACCUCUUAUAAA